rnacentral:rRNA from 1 species
AGUGAACGCUGGCGGUAGGCCUAACACAUGCAAGUCGAACGGCAGCACAGUAAGAGCUUGCUCUUACGGGUGGCGAGUGGCGGACGGGUGAGGAAUACAUCGGAAUCUACUUUUUCGUGGGGGAUAACGUAGGGAAACUUACGCUAAUACCGCAUACGACCUACGGGUGAAAGCAGGGGAUCUUCGGACCUUGCGCGAUUGAAUGAGCCGAUGUCGGAUUAGCUAGUUGGCGGGGUAAAGGCCCACCAAGGCGACGAUCCGUAGCUGGUCUGAGAGGAUGAUCAGCCACACUGGAACUGGAACACGGUCCAGACUCCUACGGGAGGCAGCAGUGGGGAAUGUUGGACAAUGGGCGCAAGCCUGAUCCAGCCAUACCGCGUGGGUGAAGAAGGCCUUCGGGUUGUAAAGCCCUUUUGUUGGGAAAGAAAAGCAGCAGGUUAAUACCCCGCUGUUCUGACGGUACCCAAAGAAUAAGCACCGGCUAACUUCGUG